AUUGAACGCUGGCGGCAGGCCUAACACAUGCAAGUCGAACGAGUGGCGGACGGGUGAGUAAUGUCUGGGAAACUGCCCGAUGGAGGGGGAUAACUACUGGAAACGGUGGCUAAUACCGCAUACUAUCAGAUGAGCCCAUAUGGGAUUAGCUUGUUGGUGGGGUAACGGCUCACCAAGGCGACGAUCCCUAGCUGGUCUGAGAGGAUGACCAGCCACACUGGGACGGAGACACGGCCCAGACUCCUACGGGAGGCAGCAGUGGGGAAUAUUGCACAAUGGGCGCAAGCCUGAUGCAGCCAUGCCGCGUGUAUGAAGAAGGCCUUCGGGUUGUAAAGUACUUUCAGCGGGGAGGCGUUACCCGCAGAAGAAGCACCGGCUAACUCCGUGCCAGCAGCCGCGGUAAUUC
rnacentral:rRNA from 1 species